rnacentral:lncRNA from 1 species
CAAAAGACCAAAAUGACACAGAAAUUACCAACUAUAGAUCACCGUACGGUCGUCAACAAUGAACAAAGCCCAUACCGCAUAGUCAGCUAUAAAAUGCCCCGAAAUAACAAUGUAAAACGAGAAAACUAACGGCCUAUUUAUGUACAAAAAAUGAACGAAAAACAAAUAUGUAACACAUAAACAAACAACCACUGAAUACGUAUACAAGACAAAAAGAAAAGGACAGUACAAAAUAUGUUAAGAAUAUAAUCUUAAAUAAAAAUGAAAAUAAUCCUCGUACAAAAUAAAUAUUUAUUUUUACCGAAAGGUGACUAGAUGCUCUACAAGUGUAAUUAGCAUAUUUUGAAUUUUACUUAAUAUAUUAUUUACCAGCAA